CGCGGGGUGGAGCAGUCCGGUAGCUCGUCGGGCUCAUAACCCGAAGGUCGUUGGUUCAAAUCCAACCCCCGCUACCA
rnacentral:tRNA from 1 species